rnacentral:rRNA from 1 species
GAGUUUGAUCUUGGCUCAGGACGAACGCUGGCGGCGUGCUUAACACAUGCAAGUCGAACGGUGAUCCCUGGCUUGCUGGGUGAUCAGUGGCGAACGGGUGAGUAACACGUGAGUAACCUGCCCAUGGCUCUGGGAUAACCGUGGGGAAACCGAGGCUAAUACCGGAUAUGACGCGCACAGGCAUCUGUUGCGUGUAGGAAAGUUUUUCGGCCAUGGAUGGGCUCGCGGCCUAUCAGCUUGUUGGUGGGGUAAUGGCCUACCAAGGCGACGACGGGUAGCCGGCCUGAGAGGGCGACUCGGCCACACUGGGACUGAGACACGGCCCAGACUCCUACGGGAGGCAGCAGGUGGGGAAUAUUGCGCAAUGGGCGAAAGCCUGACGCAGCGACGCCGCGUGAGGGAUGAAGGCCUUCGGGUUGUAAACCGUC